rnacentral:rRNA from 1 species
GAUGAACGCUGGCGGCGUGCCUAAUACAUGCAAGUCGAGCGAACAGACGAGGAGCUUGCUCCUCUGACGUUAGCGGCGGACGGGUGAGUAAAACGUGGAUAACCUACCUAUAAGACUGGGAUAACUUCGGGAAACCGGAGCUAAUACCGGAUAAUAUAUUGAACCGCAUGGUUCAAUAGUGAAAGACGGUUUUGCUGUCACUUAUAGAUGGAUCCGCGCCGCAUUAGCUAGUUGGUAAGGUAACGGCUUACCAAGUCAACGAUGCGUAGCCGACCUGAGAGGGUGAUCGGCCACACUGGAACUGAGACCCGGUCCAGACUCCUACGGGAGGCAGCAGUAGGGAAUCUUCCGCAAUGGGCGAAAGCCUGACGGAGCAACGCCGCGUGAGUGAUGAAGGUCUUCGGAUCGUAAAACUCUGUUAUUAGGGAAGAACAAAUGUGUAAGUAACUAUGCACGUCUUGACGGUACCUAAUCAGAAAGCCACGGCUAACUACGUG